CCUACUUUUUUUUAUAUUUUUAUAACAUAUUAUUUCAAAAGCCAUAUUUCAAAAUCUUAUGAAAUCCUUGUUAUUUUUUCAUACUUUUUUAAACAAAAAGGUGCCAAUGUUAAGUGAAAGAAAAAUCUAGAGAGAAUUAUUUCCCGCCAAAUUUUCAACGGCUUAUAUCUCGAAAACAAGCACACGGACCCUCCAUUUUUUUUUAUGGUUUUUUAGUUUCUUUAUUUAUAUACUUUCAAUUUAUAACAGUCUUUUAAAAAGCUUGUUAUUUGUAAACAGAGUAGCGAACAUCCUUAA
rnacentral:lncRNA from 1 species